rnacentral:rRNA from 1 species
AACGAACGCUGGCGGCAUGCCUAACACAUGCAAGUCGAACGAGACCUUUGGGUCUAGUGGCGCACGGGUGCGUAACGCGUGGGAACCUGCCCUUAGGUUCGGAAUAACUCCCCGAAAGGGGUGCUAAUACCGGAUAAUGUCUUCGGACCAAAGAUUUAUCGCCUUUGGAUGGGCCCGCGUUGGAUUAGCUAGUUGGUAGGGUAAAAGCCUCCCAAGGCGUCGAUCCAUAACUGGUUACAGAGGAUGGUCAGCCACACUGGGACUGAGACACGGCCCAGACUCCUACGGGAGGCAGCAGUGGGGAAUAUUGGACUAUCGCGGAAGGCCUGAUCCAGCUAUGCCGCGUGAGUGAUGAAGGCCUUAGGGUUGUAAAGCUCUUUUACCCGGGAUGAUAAUGACGGUACCGGGAGAAUAAGCACCGGCUAACUCCGUG